CCGCCCCCCUUCCGCUCCGCUCCGCUCCGCUCCCGCUCCCGCCCCCGUCCCCGCCCCGCUCGGUCCCGCCGUGGCCUGGAGAUGCUGUCGGGGCUGCGCCGCCGCCUUCCCCCCCCUGGAAGCGACCCACGGCGGCAGAUCCGACGGAGAUCGUCCCCGGGGUGACGAAGCUUAUGGAAAAAAAGACCAAAGGCCUCGAGGGAUGUUCUUCUUGAUCCCCCGGGGCAAAGGGAGGUGUCAGCGUCAGGAGCCAUCCUAACUGGGGCCCUGGUAGGCUCCCUGUUUUCCUUCGGUCGCCGUGGGUGUGCCGGACGCCUCUGGCAGGACUAACCCUGUGGCUUUUAUGUCCAACGUGCUGUGCUGUGUGUGCCUGCAGGUAAGAAAAGCUGGGAGUGCAGUCCCUCUGCUUUGAUUGCUGUGUCUCUUGGGUAGUGAUUUUGGAAGCGGCGCCCGCGCAGAGCGAGGCGUUGGCCGGGCCGGCGCCUGAAGCGCUCGGGGCCGCCGGGCAGGGCAGUGCCCGGCUGG